GGGUGGAUACCCAAGUGGCCAAAGGGGGCAGACUGUAAAUCUGCUGGCUCUGCCUUCGCAGGUUCGAAUCCUGCUCCACCCA
rnacentral:tRNA from 2 species